rnacentral:rRNA from 1 species
UACAGAGGGUGCAAGCGUUGUUCGGAAUUAUUGGGCGUAAAGGGCGCGUAGGCGGUGCGGUAAGUCUGUAGUGAAAUCUCUGGGCUCAACUCAGAGUCUGCUGCAGAAACUGCCGUGCUUGAGUGUGGGAGAGGUGAGUGGAAUUCCGAGUGUAGAGGUGAAAAUUCGUAGAUAUUCGGUGAGGAACACCAGUGGCGAAGGCGGCUCACUGGUCGUGUACUGACGCUGAGUGCGAAAGCGUGGGGAGCAAACAGG